rnacentral:misc_RNA from 1 species
UUGUGGAGGAGGACGCCGAAAGUGGGGCUAAUGACUGGGGUGAAGUCGUAACAAGGUAGCCGUACCGGAAGGUGCGGCUGGAUCACCUCCUAACAGGGAGACAACAAAAUGUUUAAUAUUAUUAUUUUGUCACCUUAGGUCGAUCGGUAUCUCACGUUCUUAAUUUAUUAAGAAUUUCAUUUCCUAAGUUUUUCUAGGUCACACCCAUUAUUUUCCUGGGCCAUUAGCUCAGGUGGUUAGAGCGCACCCCUGAUAAGGGUGAGGUCCCUGGUUCAAGUCCAGGAUGGCCCAUAUCUCUAUGUUGGGGGUAUAGCUCAGUUGGUAGAGCGCCUGCUUUGCAAGCAGGAUGUCAGCGGUUCGAGUCCGCUUACCUCCACUGAUUACCACCUCUACCAUAAUUUGUAGAAAGGAAUGUUUUGAGUUGUGAUCAAAUUCUGAACGAAUCUAGCUUCCUAAUGAAAUCAUUAAGAUGCUGGACUCAUUGAAUUAAUUUCAUUGUUUUCAGAGAACCUUGACAACUGCAUAGAUUAUUUUUAAAGACAAUAAGCAUCUUUAAUGAUGCAGAUUUAUUAUUUGUGCUAAUGCAUUAAUAACAAUUCUAUUAAGCUGAUGCUUCAAUUUUGAAGUUAUUGGUCAAGCUACAA